GUUUAUCUUCAUCUUACUAAAACUCUCGAUUCAUGUAACCUCCACAAUUGUGCUAAUUCCACUUCUUCUCUCCAAUGUUCAAUCAUAUUUGUGUUCAUCAAUCCUCAAUCAAAUGUGUAUUUUUUUAUCCUUUCUUCUUUCAUUGAUAGACAUUACCAUUUUUCCUAUCUAUUGAAACACAAUCCCCUUCCCCUCUUUACAAGCCCUACUUGAUUUCUUCUACCCUAAUAUCUAUGAAAGUGUGAAAGCCUAUUGAGAAGAGUGCAUCAUGUUGUCGUGGGUUUGAUUUUCCUAUUAUUAUUAGGAAUCUC
rnacentral:lncRNA from 1 species